rnacentral:siRNA from 1 species
GAUAAAGAGAUAAUCGCAGUGUCA